UGUCCCGCCGGUUGAAUCCCACGGAUCAUCCCGAUUUGUGUUUUGUGAGAGAGGGGUUGGACCCGCACUUAACCCAUCCGCCAAACCGCCAAAUCAUAAGGGAAUUCACUUUUUUCUUUUUUCUCGUCGAGAUACAUCGCGGGACCAGCCCGCGGUGACCGUAUCAUUUCCGUUCUCCAACUCUUUUUAAUGAGCAUUUCUUUACUUCAUCUCUCACCUCUACUGAAAUUAAACUUCUUUUACUAUCCCUUGUAUUCAAACUAGGUACCUCGAUCUUGUUUUUCCCUACACCUUGUGAGAUAAAAAGAAGAUCGAAUAAUUAACUAAUGAAGAAAAAAAGAAAAAAUUUAGUUCACGGUUUGCUGAUUGUUAUUUAAUUGAUACGAGCGGAUUCAGAAAAGAAGUAAUAACGAAUGGUGCUUGGCGUUCUACCUGGUGUAUGUCUUUUGAGCGAUGGAAUAUACGGGGUUGCUUAAACAGGUUGCGUAUCUCGAACGAUAACAUCGCCAUUGGAUGUUAUCAAGAUUUGAGUUCUGAACCUACAGUGUUGCACAAGAUUUAAACUUCUGUUUCACGUUCAUCUAAAUCAGAUUGUGGGACUUCCUAGGGAUCUAAAAUAUGGAGCUCGAGUUGAGCACCAUGCUUAUAAUGGCAUUUUUGAUGCCCUAUGGCGUAUCUUGGUUACCGAGAGGUGGGCUGGUCUUUACUAGGGUAUUAUCCCUUUCGUUAUCAAAGCUGCUCCAGCUGCUGCUGUCACAUUUGUGACACAUGAAUACACAUCAAGACGAAUGGGGUUCUAACCAUUUUGAUAUGUAUUCAUAGGUCACGAAUGUGCCAGCACAAAAACAACUGCAGACGCAACGAAUAGAGAGUGAACUUGUUCGUUUAGUUUCAUCCAGAAACCACUGGGAUUUGAGAAAUUCUAUCUUCAUUAAUUACUUAAGAUCUUCUUUGUAGUUUUGUUAUCAAUUUAAUUUAACUCCGUAUUACUUUUGUAAUGGCAUAAAAAAAAGAGAGGGUGGUGUAGGGCGUACCGCCCAUCGAUGUGCGGCCUAACUAGAAUUUGCCUUUCCAUGUGUAUAUACUAGAAUUUUACCCGUGUCGUAAUGGCACGGUCUCUGUAGUAAGUAAAAAAAAUUAUGGUGGGAAUUAUAUAAAUGUCCUCAAUUCUAACGGGUUGUACAAAUAGUCUUAUCCUACAAUAAAAAUACCCCUCUCCAUCCAAAGCCCA